rnacentral:misc_RNA from 1 species
AUUACGGUGAAUAUAGUCAUAAUAAUUAUAGAAAGCGAAUAGACAAAUGUAAAAUAUAACCCAUUACAUAAUGCAGAAAAUGAAUAAUAAAUAUAAAUAAAAAAAUAUAAGAAAUUUUACUAUUACAACGCUGUUCAAUGAGACUUCAAUAAAUUUGUUCUUUUAAUGUACUGUUGGUUUGUUAGCAACUUUCAGCAGUACCUGUGAAGCAAAAACAUGUCUUUUGGUUCAA